rnacentral:lncRNA from 1 species
AAGAAGUUAGUGCUCAUACGACUUGUAGACAUCCAUUUAUGCAAACCUAUUCAGAAUUCUUUUGAAUAGGGUAAAUUAUGGUACAUUGAAUACAUAAAAAGUAAAAUCACAAAAAUACUGAACUUAGAGGAAGAUCAAUUGGGAAAGUCCAUAAUCACAUGGCAAAAUCAAAUAACAAAACGCAUCAAAAACGAAUGGACAAAAACUGUCAUAUUCCUGACUUGGUACAGGCAUUUUCAAAUGUAGAAAAUGGUUUAAAGCAACACACAUAUUUGUGAGACCGAAUUGACUCAAAAUUGUUCAAAAUUUGCUCUUCGGGUCUUGGCAGAAACAAACUUCUCCAUAACUUUGUCCAAUGACAUUCACACUGAAAUUCUGAUGAAUAUGCAUCAAUGCUAGCAAUGAUGAUGACCUAUCAUUAUAUUCAUUGUUAAUUGUACAUAUGUUUUUAACCGACAUACUACACUGAACGAUCUAUCUGCUGUAGCACUUGUUACCAGCAUUGUCAAUACUCAAAAUAGUAUCUUUAUACAGUACUGGGCUCAUCACAUUGAGUGUCUCACACAGCCAAGUUGGCAUCUGAUCGCAAGGUGUUAUACACCAGCGUGUUCUCGAUGAUGCAUUGAGUGACCUCACAAUUGAUGUGAAUCAUAUUUUUUUUUAUGAUGCAUGAAACCAAAGUUAAAGACAACAAAUAAAAAAAGAAUGUGUCUGAAGGACAUUGAAUCCUGGCCUAACUGGAAAACCAUAUAUUGGAUGAGGGCAC